UCGUUGCGUCAUCGUCGUUCGCCCAACUCUCUCUAAUCCAAUCCAUACUUUGAACUCCUCUUCUCCCAGCGCAUUCUUCUCUAGUUGAGAAAUGUCCAUAAUUUCUUCCCAGUCUCCUCUUUCCUUCUCUGCUUCGUCCAUUUUCCUACCCACCCCAAAAUCUCUUUUCGUCUCCGCUUUCAAUCCCUCACCCCGCACCACCACUCUCCUCUCCUCCUCCAAAACACUAACCCUCAUACGUGCCUCGUCCUCCUCCCUCCCCAUCUUCUCCUUUACCGGCGAAACGAUUGGCAAUGCCCUCCUCGUUCUCAAAUCCGCCCCUCCCGACACUGCCCGCGCCGUAGUCCACCGCGCUAUCAUAGCCGAGCAACAAAACCAGCGCCGCGGCACCGCCUCCACCCUCACCCGCGGAGAGGUCAGCGGCGGCGGCAAGAAACCCUAUCCCCAAAAAAAGACCGGCCGCGCUCGCCGCGGCUCACAGCGCACCCCGCUUCGUCCCGGUGGCGGCGUCAUCUUUGGUCCCAAGCCUAAGGACUGGUCCAUCAAAAUUAACCGCAAAGAGCGCCGUCUCGCACUUUCUACUGCCAUCGCGAGCGCCGCCUCCUCCUCCGACGCCCUCGUCGUAGAGGAUUUCGCUCAUCUGUUUGACGCCCGGCCUAAGACUAAGGAUUUUAUAGCCGCGAUGAGGCGAUGGGGACUUGAUCCAAAGGACAAGUCCUUGUUUCUGUUGACGGAGGUGCCGGAUAACGUGAAGUUGUCCUGCCGCAACAUCGGCACCCUAAAGAUGCUCACGCCGAGGACGCUCAAUCUCUUCGACAUACUCGAUUCAGCUAAACUUGUGCUAACCAAAUCGGCUGUAGAUUACUUGAAUUCCAUGUAUGGGGAGGGCUCAGAAAAAGUAGAUGAUGAGGAAGAAGAUGAAGAUGGUGAACAGGCUGCGCCUGAGGCAGCAGCAGAUAUUGUGAUCGGGGGCAAUGGGGGAGGAUAGCAAACAUCCAGCAGCUGAUGAUGAUCUGAACCUGAAAGCCUUUGGGAUUGCUAAGUCCAUAAACUUGUGACCAAGUUUUCACCAAUUUGCAGUGGAGAUUUGAAGAGGAAGACUCUCCGCAGUGGUUUUCCACAAUGUACCCAUUGUUGUUAUCCAUAAAUGGAUCGUGUUUAUUUACAGGGACUGGUCAUAUUCAAUAUGAUCUCCUAGAAGUGUUCGUAGAAGAGUCAUUAUUCCUGCAUCAUAUUCACCUUUCACCAAUCUCAAGUGGUCAUUGAUUGUACUUGUUUGCAAGGACGGGUCUUCCAUUAUCAAUUGUCAAUAUUGUCAUCUUAAUCUACAGGCAAUUGCUUGUAUUGGAGAUUAUGUUAGUACAUGUGGUAGUCACCAAUGAGCUCUACAACUUAAA